UGGGGGAUAUUGCACAAUGGAGGAAACUCUGAUGCAGCGACGCCGCGUGAGUGAAGAAGUAUUUCGGUAUGUAAAGCUCUAUCAGCAGGGAAGAUAGUGACGGUACCUGACUAAGAAGCUCCGGCUAACUACGUGCCAGCAGCCGCGGUAAUACGUAGGGGGCAAGCGUUAUCCGGAUUUACUGGGUGUAAAGGGAGCGUAGACGGUGUGGCAAGUCUGAUGUGAAAGGCAUGGGCUCAACCUGUGGACUGCAUUGGAAACUGUCAUACUUGAGUGCCGGAGGGGUAAGCGGAAUUCCUAGUGUAGCGGUGAAAUGCGUAGAUAUUAGGAGGAACACCAGUGGCGAAGGCGGCUUACUGGACGGUAACUGACGUUGAGGCUCGAAAGCGUGGGGAGCAAACAGG
rnacentral:rRNA from 1 species